rnacentral:rRNA from 1 species
GACGAACGCUGGCGGCGUGCUUAACACAUGCAAGUCGAACGGAAAGGCCCUGCUUUUGUGGGGUGCUCGAGUGGCGAACGGGUGAGUAACACGUGAGUAACCUGCCCUUGACUUUGGGAUAACUUCAGGAAACUGGGGCUAAUACCGGAUAGGAGCUCCUGCUGCAUGGUGGGGGUUGGAAAGUUUCGGCGGUUGGGGAUGGACUCGCGGCUUAUCAGCUUGUUGGUGGGGUAGUGGCUUACCAAGGCUUUGACGGGUAGCCGGCCUGAGAGGGUGACCGGCCAGAUGCGUGCGGAGGUAGGCGCCCGCCUCUGACGGGCGGUGGGGGGGGUAAUUAGUGCACAACGGGCGGAAGCGUGAAGCGGCACCCGUGGGUGGGAGCAGGCGGGCUUGGGGUUGUACGCGGCUUCCGCAGGGGAAGGAGUGGUAGGGACGGUAAUGGGUACAGAAGCACCGGAAAAAGAGGGGCCAGCAGCCUCGAUAAUAUGCGCAACAGCACUCGUCAGACC